CUUGGUCAUUUAGAGGAAGUAAAAGUCGUAACAAGGUUUCCGUAGGUGAACCUGCGGAAGGAUCAUUAGUGAAUCUUCAAAGUCGGCUCGUCGGAUUGUGCUGGUGGAGACACAUGUGCACGUCUGUCGGGUCGCAAAUCCACACACCUGUGCAUCUAUGACUCUGAGUGCCGCUUUGCAUGGCCCCCUUGAUUGGGUGCCUGGUGCUCGAGUAUUUUUCACACACUCUCGAAUGUAACGGAAUGUCUUGUUGUGCGUAAUGUACAAACUAAAAACAACUUACAACAACGGAUCUCUUGGCUCUCGUAUCGAUGAAGAACGCAGCGAAAUGCGAUAAGUAAUGUGAAUUGCAGAAUUCAGUGAAUCAUCGAAUCUUUGAACGCACCUUGCACCCUUUGGUAUUCCGAAGGGUACACCCGUUUGAGUGUCAUUGUAAUCUCACUACCAUCGACUUUUGGUCUUUCGGUAUGUGGACUUGGAUGUUGCCGUGAAUAUCUACGGCUCGUCUGAAAUGCCUGAGUGUACCCCGCUUUGCGGCGUAUUCGGUGUGAUACAUCUUCACCGGAGUUGAUCCCUUGUGGGUCGCGUCUGUAAUGGUGUGGCUCUAUGCUUCGAACCGUCUACCCUAUAGACAAUCUCUGACAAUUUGACCUCAAAUCGGGUGGGACUACCCGCUGAACUUAAGCAUAUCAAUAAGCGGAGGAAAAGAAACUAACAAGGAUUCCCCUAGUAACGGCGAGUGAAGAGGGAAAAGCUCAAAUUUUGAAUCUGGUGUCUUUGACUCCCGAGUUGUAAUCUAGAGAAGUGUUUUCCGUGUCGGACCGUGCACAAGUUCCCUGGAACGGGGCGUCAUAGAGGGUGAGAAUCCCGUAUAUGGCAUGGACUACCGAUGCUUUUGUGAUACACUCUCAACGAGUCGAGUUGUUUGGGAAUGCAGCUCAAAAUGGGUGGUAAAUUCCAUCUAAAGCUAAAUAUUGGCGAGAGACCGAUAGCGAACAAGUACCGUGAGGGAAAGAUGAAAAGCACUUUGGAAAGAGAGUGAAACAGUACGUGAAAUUGUUGGAAGGGAAGCGUUUGAAGUCAGUCGUAUCUGGCGGGAUUCAGCCGGGCUUUUGCCAGGUGUACUUCUCGUCCGAUGGGUCAGCAUCAAUUUCGACCGGGGGAAAAAGGCUUGGGGAAUGUGGCUGUCUUCGGGCAGUGUUAUAGCCCCUUGUUGUAUGCCUCGGUUGGGAUUGAGGAACGCAGCGCGCCUCAUGGCCAGGGGUUCGCCCCUUGAUACGCGCUUAGGAUGCUGGCAUAAUGGCUUUAAGCGACCCGUCUUGAAACACGGACC
rnacentral:rRNA from 1 species